rnacentral:rRNA from 1 species
UACGUAGGGUGCAAGCGUUAAUCGGCAUUACUGGGCGUAAAGCGUGCGCAGGCGGUUCUAUUAGACAGAUGUGAAAUCCCCGGGCUCAACCUGGGAACUGCAUUUGUGACUGUAGAGCUGGAGUGCGGCAGAGGGGGAUGGAAUUCCGCGUGUAGCAGUGAAAUGCGUAGAUAUGCGGAGGAACACCGAUGGCGAAGGCAAUCCCCUGGGCCUGCACUGACGCUCAUGCACGAAAGCGUGGGGAGCAAACAGG